ACUCCAUUCGAAAAUAAAAACCAAGCAGAAAAUGGUAUAAAUAUAAUGAAAAAGCACUCAAAACCCGCUCGCUGCCUGAGUGAGUUUUAUGGUUGCAGCCUGCUGUGCUGUGAUAUUGGAAUUUACUUUGAGACUGAGAUCAUUCGGAAUACACAUAAAGCGCCUGGCAAUGGCUGCGGCUUAACAUUAACAUUGAACAUUGAAAUAACGCCUGCCAGCCCGUACUCGUCGGGCUUGGCAUGAUUUUGCUUUUGUUUUGUCAAUGCAAAUGAUUCAGUACAAUUUGUGAUGCAGACAGCGAAACGUGCGAAUAGACUCAGAGAACCCGACAAAUGUUUACCUGUCAAGCUGAUAAGAUGGAGACACUUUUGUGGGCCAGCGAGCACAGCGACUAGCCUGCGCUUAUCUAGACUGCUUAAGGGAAGCCAAACACACACCAAACUCACUCAGAUUAGUGCUGGAGUGGUUGUUGUUCCAUUAGUCAGUUUUGGCAUGCGGCUGCCAAGAUUAGGCCAACUGAUUGAAGCGUCAGCCUCGUGCCAAUCGUGUGCAAGUGCAAAAAGCCACCGAGCUGCUGCUGACAACUGCUCAAGAGGGGCGAAAAUAAUUAGCUAUUAUUAUCAAUGUAAUUACAGAAAUAUUUCAAAUUCCACGACAACAGUUGUAAAUCAAUUUCAGAUACUCUUUAUAAUAAACUUGAAAUUUUACAGAAUUAUUACCGAUUGCCAUGUGAGCCUUAAUCAGCUCUCAAUUCUCAUUUCCUUUAAUGGAGGAGAAAAGCAUACGACAUCAUUUUGCUCGGAUUUAGAGGCGCACAGGAAGAAGAAGCACACAGAUCUACAUAUUACUCAGCUGUUGAUCCUGACUCUGAAUAUAGUUGAUAUACUCUCCAAAACCAGCAUCUGUCUCUUUUGCUGAUUAUAUAUAUGUGAGCAAAAGCCAGCAUACCCCGCGUUCCCAUUUUGAAUGCGCAUCUGAACGGAAAGUGAAAUAAAAGUCUGGAAUAUAAAUUAUAAUUAAUAAAUGUAUUAAUAUAUACAUACAUAUAUGUAUUUAUGUACAUAUAUUUACAUAUAUUUCGCGUGGCUUUGACCCUUCAAGCGACCCUAAAGGGUUACUCCGACACGAUUCUAAUUUUAAGUUAAUAACAUGUGUUUAUUAGUGUAAUGGAAUUGUUGUUGAUCGCACAAGUUCAUGGCGAAAACAAUUUUCAAUUAUGUAUUACUUUAUUUUUCAGUGUUUAUUUUUUUUUAUUGUUAUGAAUAUUUUCCGCGUAUUUAUUUCUAUAUUUAUCAAAAUCGAGCCAGAGUCAACUACAAUAUAGCAACUGUUUAUCAUAUACUCGAUUUUCGCUUCUAAUUAUUCUAUGCAAUUCAUAUUUAUCUAGAUUUGUUUUUUUUUUAUUUGUUUUUUUUUGCCAGCAGCGUGCAAAUUAAACCAUUUAAUUAGCGUGUUUACUGGUCAGCCAAAUAAUUGGCCUGCUUACGUAUCAGCUAAAAGGUUUUCUAGUUGACAAAAAAAUAGAAUUCGCUUAGGGCAGCACUUGCACGGAAAUUCUCAAUUUAAUUAAGAGCAUUUCGCAAACAACGAUCCGGUUUUAAUUAUGUAAUUUAAUUUGAAUAAACAACGCAAAUCGAAUUGAUAAUUUAAUUAUACUUUUCAGCAGGUUUCAAACGGUUCGGCAGCAAUAGAGGAAACUCCAGCUGCUCUCAAAUUAGCACCAAUUUCUCAAGACUCGCGGAGGCGACUCUUAGCACCUGGUGCUUAGCUAUUCUACCCUUUAAAUGGAUGAACACGGACAUAGGCAAUGGAAUCUGUGGUCAGAGAUGGCAGGCGAAUAACAUUGUGUGAAGUGCGUAGAUAGCAUUUGGAGAGAUGAUCAUCAGCUUCAACUGCUUGAUUUACAUGCUCGAUACAGCUCCAUAUGAUUCACGAGACUACCAACUCGCCGCUGACGUCACAGGCCAAACAUGUUCAAGAGAUGAUAAUGGGGUCUACGAAACUACGUCAGAGUCCGUGUAACGCCCGACCGGUUUUUAGCAGCAGCUAGACAUGGGCCUGGGCAAAUGGUUAGCCGGCUUUCGGCUCUGCUCACACUAGCGCUGGCUGGGUCUUGUUCGAUAUCCAAGAAACUGUAACACACGGCGUAUGCGCAAUGCAUGCAAAACAAAAACUAUUGGAAGGCCGCCGCUGCAAAUGAAAUUUGGCGCAAGCGCGCGAAUUCUCUUCAGCGCAAACCGGUUGCGCGCCUGAGAAAGUGCAUUAAGGCACUGCUGCCCCAGCCAGCGACACUAACAAAAAGCAAAAAAUGUUAAUUGACGAUUUUGGCAACAACAAAGUGCUCAGCCACUGCAGUCACAUACAGUGCCCGCUGAAAGCACCUUACACCUCACUGCGCACUGGUUCUUUCGGCAGUCGAAGCAUUGUUACGAGUCCCAGCAGCAAUGGUCGAAUAUUUGGCAACAACUUUUUACGCCUGGCCCUGCCGCGACUGGAAAGCGCUCAAAAAGAAGCCAGUUUAUCGUCUUUUAUCGUUUUGUAUGGCUUACGCAUUAAAAGACAAGACGCAUCAUGUUUACAAUUAUCGUAGUUGCUUUUUCAUGUCAUGCCUUCGAUAAUGUUUGCCGACUGAGAGUGCGCAUCGACGACGUACUGACGCAGUCGCAGAGCUAAGUAAAUAAAAUUAAUUUGAGUUCAUAAAAAAAUAACGACUUUAAGCAAACUUGAUAUGCUUUAUACUAUGAAUGAAUUUCUACUAUGAAUAAACAACACAUUUAUAUAAUUGUACAUAUUAGAUUUAGCUGUAACAUUUUUGAGUAAUUUUAUUGAAUUUAUUUAAUUAAUUGUUUGUAAAGUGCACAAAUAUAUUGAUCAACUGAAUUUCCUUGAA